rnacentral:tRNA from 1 species
GGUAUGUGGCUCAAGUGGUAAUGCGCUUGCCUGGCAUGCGCGGGGUGCUGGGUUUGAUUCUCAGCACCA